AUUGAACGCUGGCGGCAUGCCUUACACAUGCAAGUCGAACGGCAGCACGGGAGCAAUCCUGGUGGCGAGUGGCGAACGGGUGAGUAAUACAUCGGAACGUGCCCAGUAGUGGGGGAUAACCCGGCGAAAGCCGGACUAAUACCGCAUACGACCUACGGGUGAAAGCAGGGGAUCGCAAGACCUUGCGCUAUCGGAGCGGCCGAUGUCAGAUUAGCUAGUUGGUGGGGUAAAAGCCACCAAGGCGACGAUCUGUAGCUGGUCUGAGAGGAUGAUCAGCCACACUGGGACUGAGACACGGCCCAGACUCCUACGGGAGGCAGCAGUGGGGAAUAUUGGACAAUGGGCGCAAGCCUGAUCCAGCCAUGCCGCGUGAGUGAUGAA
rnacentral:rRNA from 1 species